CUCCAGCAUUUGUCCGGUUCGAAUCGUGUGAUAUAUGUUACUGAGGUCAUUCACUCACAUUUCACAUUUUAGCUGCUAGUUAGCGUUAGCGGCUAGCGCUAGCCUAAAGCGCUAGCCUCCACAUGACUUUGGUUUGGCUGCGAUAGUAAGUUGUGAGAGUCUGUGUUUAUAAUUACUACCGAGCCUGUCAAGUGUAUGUCAUAGCCCAAGUAAGCCUGUGAAUAUGGGUUAUGGCAAGUUCUAUCUAAGUCUAACAUGUAUGUUGUUGCUGUCUUCUCGUAUGUGUUGCAUGUCGUAUGUUUUUUUUAAUUUUUUUAUACAUGCUGACGCAUGCCAGCUACGGAAACGCAAGGAGGUUGCUUCUCAAACUGACUCCACUGCAGGCUGUGGGCACACAUCUGCCUUGUAGAAGAGUUGUUGCUCACCUCAGAAGCAAAGAUUAUGUGGAAAAUGUGAUGAAGACCAUCUUCAAUAAAUUCCUGCUGGACCCAGGUCAUUAUAUGGAGGACCUUGUAAACAUCCCUGUCCCACCAGCCCUCUGAGCAGAAUUUGAGCAACCUGACAGUGUCAGGUUCUGGCUCUGUGUUUCAGUUUUAUUUUAAAAGGACUUCGGUCAUCAGCUAUAUAAUCAUGUUUUGGGUUUCCAGUUUCCACUUCCUGUUUUAUUUUGGUAGUCUCCCGGUUUCUGUUUCAGUUCGAGCUUCACUUCCGGUUUAUGUCACGUCACAGCUGUUCUUGCUUCACCCGGUCAUUACACACACCUGUUUUAAAUCAGUAAUCACUUCUUGUAUUUAACCACCACCUGUGUCCUUAGUUCUCUGCCAGAUCGUUGUUUGUGUGUUCCCGUCAUAGUCCGGUUUAUUGAUCCUGUCCUGCCGUGUUUCGUGUACCCUGUUUUGACUGCUGAUUCUGAGCCUGCCUAGUCCCUGUCUGUCUUGUCUGCCCUGGUCUUCUGUUCUGCCUGUUGCCGACCUUGCCUGCCUAACCACGAUCUGACGCUCGACGAUUCUGGUAUUGUAAUCCCUCUCGUGUAUGAACCUUGCCUGUCCCUGAGCCCGUCUCUGCCUGUCCUCGUUGAACCCGCAUAACCUGGAAUAAAAUCUUCCUUAUCACUUUCCA
rnacentral:lncRNA from 1 species